rnacentral:rRNA from 1 species
AUUGAACGCUAGCGGGAUGCUUUACACAUGCAAGUCGAACGAGUGGCGGACGGGUGAGUAAUAUAUCGGAACGUGCCCAGUAGCGGGGGAUAACUACUCGAAAGAGUGGCUAAUACCGCUUACUAUUGGAGCGGCCGAUAUCGGAUUAGCUAGUUGGGGGGGUAAAGGCUCACCAAGGCAACGAUCCGUAGCUGGUUUGAGAGGACGACCGGCACAAGUGGGACGGGGCAACGGCCCAGAAUCCUCCGGGAGGAAGCAGUGGGGAAUUUUGGAAAAUGGGGGAAACCCUGAUCCAGCCAUCCGGCGUGUAUGAGAAGGCCUUCGGGUUGUAAAGUACUUUUGGCAGAGAAGCGGUAUCUGCAGAAUAAGCACCGGCUAACUACGUGCCAGCAGCCGCGGUAAUAC